rnacentral:tRNA from 1 species
GAGGGUACAGCUCAGGGGUAGAGCACUUGCUUAGCAUGCCCGAGGCCCUGGGUUCAAUCCCCAGUACCUCCU